rnacentral:tRNA from 1 species
GGCUUUAGCUCAGCUGGGAGAGCACCUGCUUUGCAAGCAGGGGGUCACCGGUUCGAUCCCGGUAAGCUCCACCAAGU